rnacentral:rRNA from 1 species
UACGAGGGGUGCAAGCGUUACUCGGAAUUACUGGGCGUAAAGCGUGCGUAGGUGGUUCGUUAAGUCUGCUGUGAAAGCCCUGGGCUCAACCUGGGAAUGGCAUUGGAUACUGGCGACCUAGAGUGCGGUAGAGGGGUGUGGAAUUCCCGGUGUAGCAGUGAAAUGCGUAGAUAUCGGGAGGAACAUCUGUGGCGAAGGCGACACCCUGGACCAGCACUGACACUGAGGCACGAAAGCGUGGGGAGCAAACAGG